UGUGGAACUUAAAAAUAACGACCACCCUUCCACCAACAACACCCACUGGACCCACCCACAUAAAACGCCUGGUCGACAUUUUUUGGUUGGGGCGACCUUGGAGAAAAACAAAUCCUCCAAACCCAUAGAUCACAAUUCUUCACCAAGACCAACGCAUCAAAGUACUAAUAGUAAUUUAGACCCAAUACAAUUGAUUAAUGAACCAAGCUACCCCA
rnacentral:rRNA from 1 species